UACGUAGGAGACGAGCGUUGUCCGGAGUUACUGGGCGUAAAGGGUGCGCAGGCGGCCUGAUGCGCGUCGCGAGUGAAAUCUCCCGGCUCAACUGGGAGGGGGGUCGCGAGACGGCGAGGCUUGAGGCUCGGAGAGGGGCGUGGAAUUCCGGGUGGAGCGGUGAAAUGCAUAGAGAUCCGGAGGAACACCAACGGCGUAGGCAGCGCCCUAGACGAGACCUGACGCUGAGGCACGAAAGCGCGGGGAGCGAACAGG
rnacentral:misc_RNA from 1 species